rnacentral:rRNA from 1 species
UGGGAAUCUGCCUGGUAGUGGGGGAUAACGUCCGGAAACUGGAGCUAAUACCGCGUACGUCCUACGGGAGAAAGCAGGGGAUCUUCGGACCUUGCGCUAUCAGAUGAGCCCAGGUCGGAUUAGCUAGUAGGUGAGGUAAUGGCUCACCUAGGCGACGAUCCGUAACUGGUCUGAGAGGAUGAUCAGUCACACUGGAACUGAGACACGGUCCAGACUCCUACGGGAGGCAGCAGUGGGGAAUAUUGGACAAUGGGGGCAACCCUGAUCCAGCCAUGCCGCGUGUGUGAAGAAGGUCUUCGGAUUGUAAAGCACUUUAAGUUGGGAGGAAGGGCUUUAGGUUAAUACCCUGAAGUUUUGACGUUACCAACAGAAUAAGCACCGGCUAACUCUGUGCCAGCAGCCGCGGUAAUACAGAGGGUGCAAGCGUUAAUCGGAAUUACUGGGCGUAAAGCGCGCGUAGGUGGUUCAGUAAGAUGGGUGUGAAAUCCCCGGGCUUAACCUGGGAACUGCUUUCAUAACUGCUGAGCUAGAGUACGGUAGAGGGUAGUGGAAUUUUCCUGUGUAGCGGUGAAAUGCGUAGAUAUAGGAAGGAACACCAGUGGCGAACGCGACUACCUUGGACUGAUACUGAACCU